GGCGUUCGAAGGCACGCGAAGCAACUACCUAGCGCUAGGUUGAAAAGAGGCGGGCCCUCCGAUUAAGCAAAAUGUUGGUUUCCAUUUUCCCCGAUGAGCUCCCGAGCGGCGCCCGUCCCCGUGGGCUCCUGAGCCACGGGCGCGUUUAGGAGGAUCGCCGGGUAUAUAUAUUCCUCAGGCUCGCUGGCGACUCAGAACCUCGGGGCUCGAACGGCCCGUGAGAGCCGCCUGGUGAACCGAGAGCAGGGAGCGUCUGUUGGGAGCAGAAAGAACUAAACGGAGGAGCGGUUGUCACAGAAGGAACCCCCACCGGGAAACGGUUCCUGGCCGGGGGGGACCAUCAGCUUCAGGAAGUGUAUUGGUUUCCUUGUGCGAUCCUCUGCUGUUGGUUGAAGUCAUUUGAAGUUUUUUCUUGACUACAGGCAGAUUCCCGUUAACUGUGUAACUUUUCCCGACGGGGCCUGGCUUGGCUCGCUGGCCCUUUCCUACUGGAGUUGUCCUGCGGGCCCUCCAUUGUUGUGCUGAGAUGGGCCCACCUUAGAGAAUUACUGAUUAGUUGGAUGUUGCGGUCCAUCAACAGUACGGUCUUGAUGUGGAAAUCUACAGACUUCCCGUAAUUAGAGCUUUAUAAUCUCUAGUUGCUCGGAUCACGUUUUUUUCGGGGAAAUGCCUAUAACGUUUUGAGUAAUGUGAGCCUUGGUUUCAGCGCCCUGUCUCUGCGUUGUCACUGAGUGUACUGAGCAUCAUGGAAUUGACAGGCGAAACGAGUCAACCGCUGUGCCUAGAUGAGUGUUAAUAUCUGAGUCUUUGGGCUCUUGACGCUCAUUCGUUGAAAAUCUGCCUUUCCAUCCCUUGCGGGCUAUGUUAGAUACUAAAGAAGGCUUCCCCACAAUCCAUAUGCAUCUGCUUUGACUGGUGGUUUCUAUCAACCUACAAAGACUGUGACUUAUUGGUGAGGGCAGCUGGACAACUCUGAGAGCAUCUUAGAGAAAUCCAUCUUGGGCACACUCUAUAAAGGAACUCCUUCUCUGGAAAUAACACCCCAGAUAAGUGCACAAAAGCAAGACACCCUCGUGGACCUACUUCCUCCCGCUUUCAACACCCUGAUGCCUGAAGUGUGUAGAAUUUGACAGCAGUAUCAAGAGCUGAGGAGGAGAAGAUGGAAAGGAGUCUAGCAACUUAAAAAUCUCGUAGCAUUCUCUGUGAGGCGACCAUUUUCCUGUUGGUGGCUCAAUUUUUUAGGAGAUAAAGAAGAUGCUAAGGCCUGUGGCAGUAUCAUCAUGUCAGAUCUCAGCUUAUUGAAAUGUUUGCUCCCUUCCCUUACUCUAUAUCACAGUUUGCCUUUUGUAUUCUUAAGUUGACUCAUUUGUUUCCUAUUAGUACUUGAAACACCAUAUGGCUGCCAUAAGCCCUUAACAGAAUGACUUCUGAUAAGGGGGGGAAGGCCCAUGUUCCCACCUUCCUAUGAAAUUUUGGCCUAUUCACAAAACUACCCCCAAGGUUUUAAAUAGUAUCUAAGCUUUUACUAAUUUCGGUAAGAACGUUGCUAUAUCUUUUUGAAGUCAUUUUUACUGCUAAGUGGUGCCAGGCAUUUAUUAGCCUGCCACUUUAGGAUUUGUCUAAAUUAAACCUCUCUAAACAUAGCAUAAAUUAGAAACCUGUACUUGUAUUAUUUAAAAACCCCCCAAAACUUAAAUUUUACUAUUGAACUGAGAAUGCUUUAUAAUGAGUAUGUCAAGUUAAUAUUAAAUAUUCAGUAGAGUAUGUUAAAGUUAA